GACGAACGCUGGCGGCGUGCUUAACACAUGCAAGUCGAACGAUGAACCGGAGCUUGCUCUGGGGAUUAGUGGCGAACGGGUGAGUAACACGUGGGCAACCUGCCCCAGACACCGGGAUAACCAUUCGAAAGGAUGGCUAAUACCGGAUACGACCACUUCGGGCAUCCGAUGGUGGUGGAAAGGAUUCUGGUCUGGGAUGGGCCCGCGGCCUAUCAGCUUGUUGGUGGGGUAAUGGCCUACCAAGGCGACGACGGGUAGCCGGCCUGAGAGGGCAACCGGCCACACUGGGACUGAGACACGGCCCAGACUCCUACGGGAGGCAGCAGUGGGGAAUAUUGCGCAAUGGGCGAAAGCCUGACGCAGCGACGCCGCGUGAGGGACGAAGGUCUUCGGAUUGUAAACCUCUUUCAGCAGGGAUGAAGCGAAAGUGACAGUACCUGCAGAAGAAGCACCGGCUAACUACGUGCCAGCCGCCGCCUGUAAAAC
rnacentral:rRNA from 1 species